CACACCAUCGCUAAAUUUUCUGAACUUGACGAUGUCUGGAAAGAAAUAACUACUCGCAUCAAAUUCAAUUUGGUAGAAUUUGUGUAUAUUUAACUAGCGAGUAAUCACAGGUACACAAAGUCUCAUCCAAAAGUGAGCGCAUCAGAUUCAAAGGUUCCGUUGGAAGUGUUAUGAAGGCUGCCCCCUCCCCCCCCCAGGAAUCAGGUUCAAUCGCGAUAAUGCAGCCGCGAGAUCCACGCGGGGAACAGAAACGUCGUGUCACGUAUAGGCCAGUGUCCGUGGCUCAGUGACAUUCAAUCGGACAUCACGGUUGGGAUCGUUGGUCGGAAGAACAAAUAGCGUCAUGUUCUCUUUGGAUGGUGAAUGACGCAACAACGAAGAUACGGUAGGGAACAUCUUGUUCAUUCUCACGGUUCAACGAUUUACCGGACUUUCAAGAUGAUUACGGUAGUCAUUAAAUUGCCAGUUGGCAUUUGAUGCGACGCGCAAUUUAUGGUUAAUCCUUUGGGCGAACCGCGAUGAGUAUUAUAAUGACGUACUUUCACUCACGGCUAAGACUCGACAUGACUCGAUAUGAUCCCGACGAUCGUUGUCGUCCGUGUCGAAUGUUUACUUUCAAGGAUUGUCUAUCUCGUCGCGAUUGAUUCCGCUGUUGGCGACCUUUCAACUUUGUAAUCGUGCUCAAUCGACGGAACAGCAAAGAAAUUUCACCGAGAUAAGUGUCCGUCUAGUUGAGAUAGGCGGUAUACGAUGGGGAGAAACAAUAGGGGGCUUAUAGUAGAGGCUCGAGACUCUCCUUGUCGAAAGGUGCCCUUACUAAAAGAAAAAGAAAAUCUCUGCCUUCUAGAUAAGUGACACGCUAAAACUGAUACGAGGUAACUGUACUCCUGUACUUGUUGAACUGCGAUGGUAAGCAGGAUCAACACGUCCGGAGGAUAUUUCGGAAAAUAACAAGACUCGUUCUCAUUAUUGUUAGAGACUCGCUUCGUGCCUGGAUUCAUGGUCUAAUUAACUCUUAGGAGCCUGAUGAUCCAAAAUUAAAUUUAAAAAUACAGUGGAUGUAGAAUGUAUUCGUACAUCGAUUAAUUUCCAAAAAAACUAUGUCAAAUUGUAAUUUAUUAACUUAUUUUUUAUAAACAACGACAUUCUACAUAUUCUCGGAAAUCGCUAGAAUAGAUAGAGUACAAAAAAAAAAAUAGCUAUUUAUGUAAAUUGCGAAAUUAACAAGAAAAAAACUAUUAAUCGAUAGAAAUGUCGAAGCAAUAAGUAUUCGCACAACUGUUUAAUUUUUAAAACUUCAUGUCCCUUGGUAAUAUAUACUUUAUUUAAAAAAGAAUAUUGUUUCGACAUGGAAUAAGAAUAUGAGUAUUCCACACGUGUGAAAUAGCAGGGCGCAGGUAGUAAGUAAUAUAUAUACAAUAUUUUAUGUUUUAUCCGACAUUAUCGCGUCGAAUACGAUCUAUUUUACUCCAUUACUGUUACAACAUCUACUUCUAAGAGAUACGAUUGCCAUUUUAUAUAAACACUGAGUUUUACAGCUGACCGCAAGUCGCGAAAGAAACUUUCGGGCCAGCCCGAUACCAACGUAGGCUAUUAAAAAAAAAAAAAAAAAGAAAAAAAAUAUUUUAGAGCCUUUCUUGGAAACUCCAGAAUAUUUUCGUGGAUGAGUGCGAUCGGGGCCCAUCUGGAAUUUCCAGUAAUCGGUCCCAAAGCCCUCGCCGAUGGAGAAGGGAAGCUUGCCGCACCGGGACCUGGCGGAUAGCGAUGACGAAACAAUAGCCGGCAGAUAGCGAAACAAAACUUGGCGUCUUAACGAGCGCGUACUCGCAUACGUAUACCGCCUUCCUCUUUUGUAAUGCUAAUUCAAAGGAGGCAAUUAUUUCAGGAGUAACCGGUAACCUUCUGGUUUCUCGAACGACACCGACCGUCCGACUGUUGUCGUCCUUAGUAACCGAAGGAUACGCGUGAAAGUCGGUCGCAAAAUUCUCGGGCGACGAUCCCGCGGAUACCCGAGAAAAUUUAACGAACACGAAACGGAAAGAAACGCCUCCCGAAGCGACGGUGGUUACAACAGCUCGUCCAAUUACUCUCAGAUGUUGUUUGCCAGGCGCAUCUCGUUGCCUCAGCUACGAACCAAGGCUAGGAUUACUCGAAUAAUUUAUUAUUCGAACGCAUCGCGAGCACUCGAGCAAUACAAAUGAGCCUCGAACAUUUUAACAUCGCCGUUCGAAUAGGGUAAAUUAACUCCAUAUACUAUUGGGUUGUCCGGAAAAGUCCAUGUUGAUUUUUGGUAGGUGAUACAGGUCUGAAUAUAUCGAAGUGGUUGAAAACAAAUAACAUCCAUACAUCCCUUGAAAGGUGGAAAGGUUGUGGAACAAAAUGGCACCUAUGUAAUUCAAUAAAUAUAUAUUAAAAUUCAAACGUGUUUUUGAAUGUUUCUUAAAAAUUGCCACGAACUUUCUGGACAACCUAAUAUUUUAAACCUCUAUUGGUGGAGUUUGUCUCCAGACUACUCGUAAGGCAUUUACUUUGAUAUCGAGGACGAUGGCGAUGCCAAGCGCCAAGAAGUCAUUGUGAAUAUUGUUAUUGGAGACAUUGUAUAAUUGAGACGGGGACGUUAUCUUGUGAGAAAACUAGGAUUAUUUGAUAAAGCGUCGAUAUAUUAGCGUGUAGCCUGAAAGGUACAAGGACCCAUAGAGGGUUAAUGUCAGUAUUCAAAGAGCAAUCAACAUUAGGUGCAGAAACGAAUUCCGUGCUUUUGUUUUCAGUCAUUUGGAACUUUGAUUUCAGUAGGAAUAUUUAAUAUAUAUUGUUAUUAUAAUGUAUUAAAUUAUCAACCUUCUGGGUUCUCGACCUGGUCUGCAUUACAAUUACAUAUAUUAUGUAACCCAAAUCCUAAUCUGAUGACCACUACAACGUGUGUAUGUGUAUAUACAAUAUACACAAGUGUGCUUCAUAAUUACAGUAAUUGUAGAGAAAUACAAAUAAGGAAAAUCUGAUGGUUACUAAAGCUCGUUUAGAUACAUUGCAAUGACCAUCAGGUUGAGACUUGAACGUUCGUACUUUAAUGUAUAAAAAUGAUUGAAUCUGUUUAACUAGGCCUGCUUAAACUAGAAUUAUAAAUAAUUGAAUAAAGAGCCACAGAAUUAAUUUCUACACCUAAUAUGAUAUUUAUAAACUUGACAAGCACUCGAAUGCUGCUAAUAAACUUCGAAUACUAU